rnacentral:rRNA from 1 species
AUUGAACGCUGGCGGCAGGCCUAACACAUGCAAGUCGAACGGUAACAGGAAGAAGCUUGCUUCUUUGCUGACGAGUGGCGGACGGGUGAGUAAUGUCUGGGAAACUGCCUGAUGGAGGGGGAUAACUACUGGAAACGGUAGCUAAUACCGCAUAACGUCGCAAGACCAAAGAGGGGGACCUUCGGGCCUCUUGCCAUCGGAUGUGCCCAGAUGGGAUUAGCUAGUAGGUGGGGUAACGGCUCACCUAGGCGACGAUCCCUAGCUGGUCUGAGAGGAUGACCAGCCACACUGGAACUGAGACACGGUCCAGACUCCUACGGGAGGCAGCAGUGGGGAAUAUUGCACAAUGGGCGCAAGCCUGAUGCAGCCAUGCCGCGUGUAUGAAGAAGGCCUUCGGGUUGUAAAGUACUUUCAGCGGGGAGGAAGGGAGUAAAGUUAACACCUUUGCUCAUUGACGUUACCCGCAGAAGAAGCACCGGCUAACUCCGUG